UAUCCUUAUCAUUUACAGUAGGGGGUACAGUAUCCCUUAUAAUACAUGAGUGAUACAUAAUUCCAGGAGAUUUGUGAGAGCAUAGGAAGGGAGAGGCCGACACAGAAUGAAGGAUGAAUGACACAGAUCUGUACAAAUGAUUUGCGUUUAUUUUCUCUUUCAUUUACAGUCAAGUUUUCUUUUUAUGUUUAUAAACAAAACGUUCAGAUUGAGCUCAAUGGAAGCAGCUCUUUACCUUGUAUAAUUCCAAAGAAGAAUAUUCGCACAACACAAUAUAAGCCACUCGCCCCCCCAUAUCAGGUAGGAGACGCUUUACCCGCGUGUAGAAAGCUGAAGGCAGGAAAUCUCUGCCCUAAAUUCUGUAGGAUAAAUAGUUAAACUGGGGGGUACAGUCACAUUGGGCUAAUGACACAGGAAUUAAUAUGAAUUGAUGCCAUUAGGCGCUGAAACACACAUUUGAGCUUUGAGAAUGAUCCCCCUAUGUGAUAGGACAGACAGGUAAACAAGUAAAUGUAUGAAUUCUGAACCUGAGAAAUCCCAGCACUAUAAAAUGGAGUGAGUCGGAAAUGGGAUGUAUAUAUAGAAGUUGGUCAGUCCGGCCUCAGGUUGAAUGCCUUUAAAGUAUGGGGGUCCGGGAGGUAUAGUGGGUCCUAGAGGGGCACUGACUGAUAAGCAAUUCCAUCAAAAAUGCCAAAAAGUUUAAGGGCCCCUAAACGCAUUUUGCCGUGGGGCCCCGUAUGUUGUAGUGGUCAGUGGUAAGGGGGCCUUGGGUUUUGGGCGGAUAGUCCCCGACUCACUGACUGUCUGGGUACCUGGAUCAAUUCUCUCAUCCCCCCCAUUACCCCAGUUAAAAGAUUUUCUCCCCCUGACUUGGUUGAUCCGCUCACUGCUGGUUUUGCAGGUUCCCGGGUCAGGUUAGAAACACACAACUUGCCGUUAGGGGUGGGGGCAGGGAAGGAGCCUAGCGGGUUCCCGGGUCAGGUUAGAAACACACAACUUGCCGUUAGAGGCGGGGACAGGGAAGGAGCCUAGCGGGUUCCUGGGUCAGGUUAGAAACACACAACUUGCCGUUAGGGGCGGGGACAGGGAAGGAGCCUAGCUGGUUCCUGGGUCAGGUUAGAAACACACAACUUGCCGUUAGGGGCGGGGGCAGGGAAGAAGCCUAGCGGGUUCCCGGGUCAGGUUAGAAACACACAACUUGCCGUUAGGGGUGGGGGCAGGGAAGGAGCCUAGCGGGUUCCCGGGUCAGGUUAGAAACACACAACUUGCCGUUAGGGGUGGGGGCAGGGAAGGAGCCUAGCGGGUUCCCGGGUCAGGUUAGAAACACACAACUUGCCGUUAGAGGCGGGGACAGGGAAGGAGCCUAGCGGGUUCCUGGGUCAGGUUAGAAACACACAACUUGCCGUUAGGGGCGGGGACAGGGAAGGAGCCUAGCUGGUUCCUGGGUCAGGUUAGAAACACACAACUUGCCGUUAGGGGCGGGGGCAGGGAAGAAGCCUAGCGGGUUCCUGGGUCAGGUUAGAAACACACAACUUGCCGUUAGGGGUGGGGGCAGGGAAGGAGCCUAGCGGGUUCCUGGGUCAGGUUAGAAACACACAACUUGCCGUUAGGGGCGGGGACAGGGAAGGAGCCUAGCGGGUUCCUGGGUCAGGUUAGAAACACACAACUUGCCGUUAGGGGCGGGGACAGGGAAGGAGCCUAGCGGGUUCCCGGGUCAGGUUAGAAACACACAACUUGCCGUUAGGGGCGGGGACAGGGAAGGAGCCUAGCGGGUUCCCGGGUCAGGUUAGAAACACACAACUUGCCGUUAGGGGCGGGGACAGGGAAGGAGCCUAGCGGGUUCCCGGGUCAGGUUAGAAACGCACAAUUUGCCGUUAGAUGCGGGGGCAGGAAAAGAGCCUAGCGGGUUCCCGGGUCAGGUUAGAAACGCACAAAUUGAUCAAUCACGUCUGAUCAGUGAUCUGAUUCACUAGGUGUGUAUACGAGUCAUUGGCUCAGGGAACGGUUACCUGAAUCAGUGCAAGUAGGCCGGGCUUUUCUAGGUGUCUCUCCUGACCCAACCUGGAGAUAACCUUGUGGGCAUAACGAGGAAAAAAAAUGUAUACAAAAUAGUAGAUUUUGAAAACAAUCUGUUUUCAGAACUAACUGUUGCCUUCUCAAGGCCUGUAUGGCUAUCCAUCAAAAAAAGGCUGUAAAUCCCACCAGAUGAGGUCCUCGUUGGGUGGUGCAUCGGCAAAGGCCCCACGUUAGGCAAUGAUUGCCAAAUAAAGCAGGAACAGUCUCACUGGUGAUUCCUACACUCGGAGGUCGGACCUACUCAGAAUUCCCACAAGGAGGAUCCCACUCACCAUCCGUGUUUGUACAAAGUCAUUGCUGGGAACACAGCAGAGAAUUGAGCCAAGCUUUAGCCACCAAUGGGAUAUGGCCUCCGUUAUUGUUCACUUUGAGGCUUCUCUUUCUCCAGUUCAUCCUAAAUGGAAGGGAAACAGGGGUUACCUCUUUCCUUGGGGUGUUGCGCUGCUCCCCAAAUAUCCCAGCAAGCUUUGCCACAGAUGGAACUGGGGUCUCCUCCGCUGAACCGACAUCCACUGGUUUCCCCUGCGGCACAAAUGGGAAUUCAUGCAAUCCAAUGGAUAUAUUAGGGCAUACAGUCACAGUGACAGAAUUGUGCCGUACACUACAAUGGAAUCACAGUAUUAUACAGGAUCGAUAUUGGUAAGUACCCAGUAGACUACAGCACAACAUAUUGGCAAUGAGAAAACCCCCUAAAAUUUCAAUGUUCAUGCAUUUCCCUAUAGGCUGAAGCUCACUCGCUGGGUCCUACAGUACACCCAGGGCACCAGAUCCCAACUAGACACUGUUUUCCCCCCACUCUGGGCUCUUGGAUAAUGGAAAUGUAUAUUGUUUUGCAGUAAAAUAGGCAUAAUGUUACAAUGGCAUCACAGUAUGUACAAUAUAGCACAGAUAUAUAGAUAUACAACAUAGAGUACAUAGGUAUAUGCAAUACAGAACAUAGCAUAGGUAUAUGCAGUACUAAUGGUGAACACUAUGAGCCUGGUAUAGUGCAAUACUGCAGAUAUACAGACCACCCAUAGGGAUGCCAUAGCUGUUGUUGAUCUGCAAGUCUCAGUAUCCAAGGCGAUACCGGGAGUUGCAAUUCAGCAAUAGCGCAAGGGCCAUAGCUUGGGCAGUUCUAUUCCUCCCUGUGCCUACAGGUAUCUGUUGUGGCUCCACUCACAGUGACUGAGAUCCCUCUGCGCUCUAAAGAUCCACCACCUGAAUGCGAAACGCAUGGGGCAGGAUCCCAGGUCCCUGGAGAUUAAAGGGAGGAUGUAACAGCUGUGUAAUGUGGGUCAGCAGCGAGCAUCCCUACUGUGGGAGACAAUAAGGAGGCGUCCCUAGGGAGGGGGAAAGCUCACUUCUAUUUAUAAGAGAUGCAGGACAUUCUAAAGCAAAGAGGAGACCUUCCCAAAGCUGAGGGUACAGUUAAGCUCCAAUCUGACAGUUGAGGUGGGUGGCAAGGGGACGAGAGCAAACAUAGCCCGGGAAUAAAUCUGAAAUCACAGUUAUAACCUCUCAAAGUGGUAUCAACACAGAGGAUCUAAUAAGCAGUCACGUGGUGUCUAAUAUAGAGUGACAUACCCAGCAUUCCUUCCCUGCUGUCAGCUAGCUGUGCUAUGUUUAAAGAGACAGCGCUUGGAUUCCAGAGACUGCCCCAUGAGGGAGUGGCAGAGGCAACGGGAUAGAACAGGAGGAGCUCGCUGCUUGGUUGUUGCUAAUGAUAAAUCAGCUGCUGCACCCCCCCCCCCCCCCCCUUAGCUAAUACAGAAUAUUAAAGCGGCAGUAUAUAUAUGUUCUUUGUCAUCUGAAAGUAAACCACAUUUCCAUUGCGUUGUGUUUUUCAUUUUAACCGUUCUUCUAAACCAUAAAGGAACAGUUCAGUGUAAAAAUGAAACUGGGUAAAAUAAAAAAUGUUUUCAAUAUAGUUA